rnacentral:rRNA from 1 species
AUGUCAGCGGUUCGAGUCCGCUUAUCUCCAGCCCGUGAACUUAGCGGAUACUAUGAUAGCGAUAGCACCGAAUUUUGCCAAUUCGGCAGUUCGAUCUAUGAUUUCACAUUCAUGGACGUUGAUAAGAUCCUUCCAUUUAGUAGCACCUUAGGAUGGCAUAGCCUUAACGUUAAUGGAGAGGUUCAAAAGAGGAAAGGCUUGCGGUGGAUACCUAGGCACCCAGAGACGAGGAAGGGCAUAGCAAGCGACGAAAUGCUUCGGGGAGUUGAAAAUAAGCAUAGAUCCGGAGAUUCCCAAAUAGGUCAACCUUUUAAACUGCCUGCGGAAUCCAUGAGCAGGCAAGAGACAACCUGGCGAACUGAAACAUCUUAG